rnacentral:rRNA from 1 species
AAUAUUGUAUAAUGGGGGGAACCCUGACCCAGCCAUGCCGCGUGUGUGAAGUAGGUCUUCGGAUUGUAAAGCACUUUAAGUUGGGAGGAAGGGCUUUAGGUUAAUACCAUGCAGUUUUGACGUUACCCACAGAAUAAGCACCGGCUAACUCUGUUCCAGCAGCCGCGGUAAUACAGAGGGUGCAAGCGUUAAUCGGAAUUACUGGGCGUAAAGCGCGCGUAGGUGGUUCAGUAAGAUGGGUGUGAAAUCCCCGGGCUUAACCUGGGAACUGCUUUCAUAACUGCUGAGCUAGAGUACGGUAGAGGGUAGUGGAAUUUCCUGUGUAGCGGUGAAAUGCGUAGAUAUAGGAAGGAACACCAGUGGCGAAGGCGACUACCUGGACUGAUACUGACACUGAGGUGCGAAAGCGUGGGGAGCAAA